GCUCCACGGCUCCAAGUUAGCCCGCGUGCCGCGGCGGAGAGGUGUCCCGAGCCACGCGUGGCCGCGGUGGGCGUGCGGCGGGAGCACCCGGAGGUGGCCAGGCUCUCUGCAUGGCCGGCCUGGAAAGCCUUGGCUCGCUUUGCCGCGUCGUCGCGGCCUUUUCUCCCUGAGGAUGGUUUCCACUUCAGUGAGUUUCCUGAUCAAGUUCACCAGCUGGCUGCAGAAACAAUCCUGUCAGCUCAAGGGAAUUGCAGCACAAGGACCAGAAUAAAGCUCUAAAUUGAAGCUAUUUUUGUUUAGUAGAAACCCUGGUUAAUUGCUGUAGGACUUUAUGAAUCCACAGAUUACAGCUGGACGACUAACAGAGGCUAUGUGAUAAACUGCUUUGGUAGGUGCAGUGAAGUUCAUCAUACGGUUCUUUGGGCGAGCAGCACGCUCUGGUUUGGGCCGGAUAGGUCAUGGCUGGUCUGCACACUGAUCCCAGUGCUCUACAGCACCAAAGGCAUCUCACAGAUGCCCAUGUUUCAUACAUACAGGCUUCUGCAGCGUGAACCGCUCUGCCUCUGUCACUGUCCUCCGUGUCCACAUCAUGACACGCGAGAGCAGGGACCGGAACCGCAGCUGCCGCCUACCUGCUCCGCGGCACUAACUGCGCAGCCAUGUAGCGGGCUGCUGCUCCUGAAAACUGCCGAGGACAGCAGGCUUAGGGCUCUCAAGGCAGGAUAAACUGAGGGGAUGCACAGCAUAGGGUGGCACCCACGUCAGAGACCGAGAGUAAAACUGUGGGAAAAGUAAUUAAGAACCUGGAAACUGGCCACAGUACAUGCAAUGUUUGUGUGCAUUUUUUUUCAGAAUAUUUUUUUUUCUUCUGAAUUUGCAGAGAGCAAUGAAUUAAGGAAAGACACGGGAUGGAGAAUUUUGGAAUUCCCUCAGCCUCACUGAAAUCCUUUUAUUCCAAUUUUAUUUGUGUUACAGGACGAAGAAACCAGACUAGCACAUCACAUAGAAUAAUCCACACAGUAUACAAAAAUUACUUUUAUGGAAGAGGCUAAACAAAGUCAGGAGAUAGUAUUGAUUUCAGUGUGACGUGACUGCAAACAGACCUAGCUUAUGCUACCUUGUUUAUUAGAAUUUUUGGCCUACAGAACUUUUCUCUAUAAAAUGAUUGUCACUGAAAACAAUCAUAGCAACUUCAGAAAAUAAGCAGAGGAACAUAGGACACGAGUCAAUUGCACAUAAAUUUUUUUCCAGAGACACAGUAUUUCAGACUGAUCAAGGUAAAACAGAUGGAGCACAACCUUGUUAUGAAUCUUGCUUCUAUUACUAAGUCCCACAGAGCUAGACAUAACUGAAAUUUUCACUAAGGUAGAAGUACAACAAAUUCUUGAAGACAUUUGUAAGGGCUAUUUCAGAUCACAUGGAGGGUGGUCAAACCAGGAGGAAUAAAACAGCUUUUUAAUCAA